rfam:Desulfosporosinus acidiphilus SJ4, complete genome.
AUGAACCUUCGGGGCAGGGUGAAAUUCCCUACCGGCGGUGAUAAUUGCCCGUGCAAUUUAGCCCGCGACUCGGUGCAGUCUCAAACGAUGCAUCGACUGACUUGGUGAGAUUCCAAGGCCGACGGUAAAGUCCGGACGAGAGAAGGUAAAA